AUACGAAGGGGGCCAGCGUUGUUCGGAAUUACUGGGCGUAAAGCGCAUCCGUAGGCGGACAUUUAAGUCAGGGGUGAAAUCCCGGGGCUCAACCUCGGAACUGCCUUUGAUACUGGGUGUCUAGAGUGUGGAAGAGGUAAGUGGAAUUCCGAGUGUAGAGGUGAAAUUCGUAGAUAUUCGGAGGAACACCAGUGGCGAAGGCGGCUUACUGGUCCAUUACUGACGCUGAGGCGCGAAAGCGUGGGGAGC
rnacentral:rRNA from 1 species